GAUGAACGCUGGCGGCGUGCCUAAUACAUGCAAGUCGAGCGAACGGACGAGAAGCUUGCUUCUCUGAUGUUAGCGGCGGACGGGUGAGUAACACGUGGAUAACCUACCUAUAAGACUGGGAUAACUUCGGGAAACCGGAGCUAAUACCGGAUAAUAUUUUGAACCGCAUGGUUCAAAAGUGAAUGACGGUCUUGCUGUCACUUAUAGAUGGAUCCGCGCUGCAUUAGCUAGUUGGUAAGGUAACGGCUUACCAAGGCAACGAUGCAUAGCCGACCUGAGAGGGUGAUCGGCCACACUGGAACUGAGACACGGUCCAGACUCCUACGGGAGGCAGCAGUAGGGAAUCUUCCGCAAUGGGCGAAAGCCUGACGGAGCAACGCCGCGUGAGUGAUGAAGGUCUUCGGAUCGUAAAACUCUGUUAUUAGGGAAGAACAUAUUUGUAAGUAACUGUGCCCAUCUUGACGGUCCCUAAUCAGAAAGCCACGGCUAACUACGUG
rnacentral:rRNA from 1 species